rnacentral:lncRNA from 1 species
GAAAAUGCAUUAUGAAUUCUUUAUUCGUAAUAGAAAAGUUGGAUGGUUGCUUUCAAAGCAAAGUAGUUUUAAUAUGAAAUUUAUUCAAACUGUGGAUGGAUAGACUUUGUUCCAUGAUUUUUGUAGGGUGGCCCAAAAAUGCUGGAUGAUGCCUUAAUGUGAAAGCUAGUUGUCGAUCCUAGUCCCUAAAUGCUAAUAUUAUCUAUUGUGCUUUGACGGACCCUUAGUCCCUAAAUGCGAUUUUGUAACUACAGUAUGAAGUGAUUUUGCAAAUGCAAAAGAAAGUGUUUCCUUGUGUUUUAUUGGCCCACUGAUAAGGGUUUCAAAGGAGAAUAAUGAAGAAACGAAUCGACUGAAGCAAAUUACAAAGAAACCAACUCUUUGGAGUCUAAACUAUUUCUUAUAAUAUGGCAUUAUGAUUAAUGGAGGAAUCCAUAAUGAGGUUGUAUAUAUAUAUCUGAUAAAAUUUGAUAAAAUAUGGUGGGUGCUCUGCCACUGGUAUAAGAUUUUUGUUGAUAAUUAUAAAUGUAAGUCUUGGAUUUUUAUUAUUCUUGAUCAUUCAAUAAGAUUCAAUCUUCUGCUUGAUAAAAAAUACAAAACCUUUUAUUGCUGAAUAUAGCGGUGUUCAGGUUCAACGGUGAUUUUGAAACCGAAAUCUCAUGAAACUGUUAAUGGAGGACUUUAACUGAGGUUAAAAGCAUCCUGGUGGGUAAGGGGGAAGGUUAAUGAAAAGUCAGAUUAAGAGGUAUAUGAUUCCUAUCUCUGUUUUUUAUGUUUUGAUUAUAUUGUUGAAUGCUUGGAU